rnacentral:rRNA from 1 species
UACGAAGGGGGCUAGCGUUGCUCGGAAUCACUGGGCGUAAAGCGCACGUAGGCGGAUUGCUAAGUCAGGGGUGAAAUCCUGGAGCUCAACUCCAGAACUGCCUUUGAUACUGGCGACCUUGAGUCCGGGAGAGGUGAGUGGAACUGCGAGUGUAGAGGUGAAAUUCGUAGAUAUUCGCAAGAACACCAGUGGCGAAGGCGGCUCACUGGCCCGGUACUGACGCUGAAGUGCGAAAGCGUGGGGAGCAAACAGG